rnacentral:snRNA from 1 species
UGCUUGUUUCAGCAGCACAUAUACUAAAAUUGCAUGGCCCCUGCUCAAGAAUGACAAGAAAAUUUGUGAAGUGUUCCAUAUU